AUGAACGCCGGCGGCGUGCCUCAUCCCUGCCAGUCGAGCGAACAGACGAGGAGCUUGCUCCUCUGACGUUAGCGGCGGACGGGUGAGUAACACGUGGAUAACCUACCUAUAAGACUGGGAUAACUUCGGGAAACCGGAGCUAAUACCGGAUAAUAUAUUGAACCGCAUGGUUCAAUAGUGAAAGACGGUUUUGCUGUCACUUAUAGAUGGAUCCGCGCCGCAUUAGCUAGUUGGUAAGGUAACGGCUUACCAAGGCAACGAUGCGUAGCCGACCUGAGAGGGUGAUCGGCCACACUGGAACUGAGACACGGUCCAGACUCCUACGGGAGGCAGCAGUAGGGAAUCUUCCGCAAUGGGCGAAAGCCUGACGGAGCAACGCCGCGUGAGUGAUGAAGGUCUUCGGAUCGUAAAACUCUGUUAUUAGGGAAGAACAAAUGUGUAAGUAACUAUGCACGUCUUGACGGUACCUAAUCAGAAAGCCACGGCUAACUACGUG
rnacentral:rRNA from 1 species